UACAGAGGGGGCAAGCGUUAUUCGGAAUUAUUGGGCGUAAAGGGCGCGUAGGCGGUUCUUCAAGUCUCUCGUGAAAUCCCUCGGCUUAACUGAGGACGUGCGGGAGAUACUGAAGGGCUUGAGUCCGGAAGAGGGUGGUGGAAUUCCCAGUGUAGCGGUGAAAUGCGUAGAUAUUGGGAGGAACACCAGUGGCGAAGGCGGCUCACUGGACCGGUACUGACGCUGAGGCGCGAAAGCGUGGGGAGCAAACGGG
rnacentral:rRNA from 1 species